rnacentral:rRNA from 1 species
GACGAACGCUGGCGGCGUGCCUAAUACAUGCAAGUCGAGCGAAUCAAUGGGAGCUUGCUCCCUGAGAUUAGCGGCGGACGGGUGAGUAACACGUGGGUAACCUGCCUGUAAGACUGGGAUAACUUCGGGAAACCGGAGCUAAUACCGGAUACGUUCUUUUUUCGCAUGAGGAGAGAUGGAAAGAUGGUUCUGCUAUCACUUACAGAUGGACCCGCGGCGCAUUAGCUAGUUGGUGAGGUAACGGCUCACCAAGGCGACGAUGCGUAGCCGACCUGAGAGGGGGAUCGGCCACACUGGGACUGAGACACGGCCCAGACUCCUACGGGAGGCAGCAGUAGGGAAUCUUCCGCAAUGGACGAAAGUCUGACGGAGCAACGCCGCGUGAGCGAAGAAGGCCUUCGGGUCGUAAAGCUCUGUUGUUAGGGAAGAACAAGUACGAGAGUAACUGCUCGUACCUUGACGGUACCUAACCAGAAAGCCACGGCUAACUACGUGCCAGCCGCCGCUGUAA